GAGCUUCUAUCACCUUGUCUAUCGUUGUUACUGCAUAUCCUGCAUAGCGGAUCCCUUCUUUUACAUAACUACUGCCGUCGGUGUAAUAUUGAACAUCAGGGUUCUGGAUGGAAAAAUCACGAAGAUCUGGUCUACUUGAAAAUACUUCAUCCAUUACUUCCAAACAAUCAUGUUGACUUUCAGUAGGUUGUGGCAAAAGGGUAGCUGGAUUUAAG